AUGGAGGCCAUUGUGCUGGCCUGCAGCUUCGAGUGUUGCUGUGCCUUGCUGCUCUUGCUUCGUCCGAUAGCGGAUGACCUCCGUCGAGCUCGCCCGGCCACCUUCGACCUCGGCAUGGCCCUGCCUCCACUAGCAGCCUCCUGGUGCCGGCCGUUUCCAUGGGUUCGGGGAGCCCCAAGAGCCCAAGCCGGAAGACUCCGUGGAUGUGCAUCCCACUUGUGCCAUUUUGGAUCGUCAAUAAUGUUGCGGGAUUCGCCAAGUACCAUUACGCCCGGAGACCACGGAUCCCUGAAGUUCCACUACCGUCGCCAUGGAUCCGACAAGUUCGCGAGUACGACCACUUCCCACGACGGCCUUGUACCACUACCGUUGAUGAAGACAUGUGCACCGCAAGCAUCAAGUUCAACUACCAUCGACCGCGAAGGGUUUGGAGUCAUCAAGUACCUCUCCGAAACGAACAUGAAUGACUACCGUCGCAAGAACGGGACCGGAAAGUCCGAAGACCCCAAGUACCUCGACACCGAUGACAUGAACGUCUACGGAAACUCGUGCAACGAUAAAUAUGUACCACUACCGUCGCCGAGAUCACGAGAACCUCUACCGUCGACCCUAGAGCAUGCGAGAACGACUACUUCGACUACCAUCGCGUGA
rnacentral:rRNA from 1 species